rnacentral:rRNA from 1 species
UACGUAGGGUGCAAGCGUUGUCCGGAAUUAUUGGGCGUAAAGAGCUUGUAGGCGGUUUGUCGCGUCUGCUGUGAAAUUUCGGGGCUCAACCCCGAACUUGCAGUGGGUACGGGCAGACUAGAGUGCAGAAGGGGCAAUCGGAAUUCUUGGUGUAGCGGUGAAAUGCGUAGAUAUCAAGAGGAACACCGGUGGCGAAGGCGGCGUUCUGGACUGCAACUGACACUGAUGAACGAAAGCCAGGGGAGCAAACGGG